UACAGAGGUCUCAAGCGUUGUUCGGAUUCAUUGGGCGUAAAGGGUGCGUAGGCGGCGCGGUAAGUCGGGUGUGAAAUCUCGGGGGCUUAACUCCGAAACUGCAUUCGAUACUGCCGUGCUUGAGGACUGGAGAGGAGACUGGAAUUUACGGUGUAGCGGUGAAAUGCGUAGAUAUCGUAAGGAAGACCAGUGGCGAAGGCGGGUCUCUGGACAGUUCCUGACACUGAGACACGAAGGCCAGGGGAGCAAAACGGG
rnacentral:rRNA from 1 species